AACCGGUCAAAGACUCGUGCCUGCGGUGGUCGGCCGGCUGACGUUGCAGCUUGCUACCGGCAAUUUAAUCUCUGCGGUGGCAACAGUUGUAGUGCUGUACUCUUAGAUGUGCAAUAUUCUUAAGACAUGGACAUGUCUUUUAUUUUGGACUGUUCGUGGUUAUGGUGCUAUACAGUGUUGUAAUUUUUCAGCUAAAUUUGUGAUAAGUUAAUAGCACGGCUUGUCUCCUUUCCAAGC
rnacentral:lncRNA from 1 species